rnacentral:tRNA from 1 species
UCCCUUGUAGCUCAGUUGGUAAAGAAUCUGCCUGCAGUGUAGGGGUCCCAGGUUCAAUUCCUGGUUUGGGAA